rnacentral:lncRNA from 1 species
CAGAGCACUGGGAAGCUGACUUGCAGAUUUUCAGCUGUUAGCAUGUGGCAAGGCCUCAACUCCACUAUCCCUGAGGAACCAGCUUUAUGAAGACUGAAAGUGUGAUGGCUGUUGUUGCUAGGAGCUGCAGCUGAAUGCCCUGGGGGCCUGCAAGGUCAUGCAUGUCUGAGAGAGAGAAGCUACAAGUAAAGGGGAGCUGCUUUUCCAGACCCAAAAGGGCGGGAGAGAGGAGUGUGGUCCUGACCCACUGGCAGGUUCAGCAAAGUAAAAAAACAGCAUUGAAUGUUUCAAUCUCCUGACCUUCCUCAGCAGUUAUGGAAGCAAAGCAAUUGCCAUUAUUAAGCCUAACCACACACACACACACCCACCAGGAUUGGUAGCUCAGAAAUUCUAGAUGUCACAAGUUAACCCCAUUCUUCCUUCAUGAUUGCAUGUUGAGGCUCGGAUUCAGAAAAGCAUUUAAUCACAUGCCUAACUUUAAGCAGGUGCUUAAGUCCCCUUAAAGUCAACGGGAUUUAGGCACAUUUUUAAGCACUUUGCUGAACUGGAGCCUUUCGCUCUAGAAAACACAUCGUUUGUUUGAAGUCAAUUUAUAUUAAAGAUCACUCUUAAAUUAGGUUUUCAUUCAAGCGAUAAAUUCAAAUUAAUCUGACAACAAACAUUUUCUAAAGAAACUUGAAAAAAUUUGAAGAAGAAAACAGAGUAGGAGUAUCAAAUGCAUCCUUUGCCUUUUAGCGGGACAUUCUAGCCAGGGGGGAGAAGAGGGAUAGCUCAGUGGUUUGAGCAUUGGCCUGCUAAACCCAGGGUUGUGAGUUCAAUCCUUGAGGGGGCCACUUAGGAAUCUGGGGCAAAAUCAGUACUUGGUCCUGCUAGUGAAGGCAGGGGGCUGGACUCAAUGACCUUUCAAGGUCCCUUCCAGUUGUAGGAGAUAAAUGAAUGGAGAUAUCCUAUUUAAUUUAUUUCUGAACUGGUGUAUUAUGAUCCCCCCCAAAUAGUUCUUAAUUUCACUUAUACAAGCAACAUCCAGUGUUUCAACCUGCAGGCUGUUUCAUACGCCAACCAACCUUGGGAAGAAAAAGCCAUUCCUUGAAUCCAGCUUGAAAAAUUUACUUUCUGACUUGCAGCUAAUCUCCCCAUUAUUACCUGCCCAUUAUUGGGCCAGUUCCUGAGGUCCUUGCUCAAAUUUACCAUAGCCCUUACUCCAGCAAGCUCCCAUUGAAAUAAUUUGAGCAAUCAAUGGAACCUGGCCAGAGGAGGGAAAGAGUUAAACUUGAGUGAGGCCCUCAGGAUUUGGCCUAGCAAUUAAUAAUGGAUGGCUGGUCUCUUUACCUCUUGAGCCCAGCGGUCAUUUGAGAAAUCAGCUGCAAUUUCCUGAAGUCAGGAAUGAGUUAAAAGAAUGUGACGCAUGAUUGUUUAUGUUAAUUAUUUAACUUUUGUAUAUAGCCCCUUUAGGUGUGUAUGAUGCUUUAUGGAAAGAAUAAAUGCAUGGGGCCAAACUCUCCUCUAAGCA